GGGGUAUGUAGUGGCACGUCUCAAAUUCCUGUAAAAUCAUAAUGGCAUGGUUCCAAUU
rnacentral:sRNA from 1 species